CUGUGAAACUGCGAAUGGCUCAUUAAAUCAGUUAUCGUUUAUUUGAUAGUACCUUACUACUUGGAUAACCGUGGUAAUUCUAGAGCUAAUACAUGCUAAAAACCCCGACUUCGGAAGGGGUGUAUUUAUUAGAUAAAAAACCAAUGCCCUUCGGGGCUUCUUGGUGAUUCAUGAUAACUAAACGAAUCGCAUGGCCUUGCGCCGGCGAUGGUUCAUUCAAAUUUCUGCCCUAUCAACUUUCGAUGGUAGGAUAGUGGCCUACCAUGGUUUCAACGGGUAACGGGGAAUUAGGGUUCUAUUCCGGAGAGGGAGCCUGAGAAACGGCUACCACAUCCAAGGAAGGCAGCAGGCGCGCAAAUUACCCAAUCCCGACACGGGGAGGUAGUGACAAUAAAUACUGAUACAGGGCCCUUUCGGGUCUUGUAAUUGGAAUGAGUACAAUCUAAAUCCCUUAACGAGGAACAAUUGGAGGGCAAGUCUGGUGCCAGCAGCCGCGGUAAUUCCAGCUCCAAUAGCGUAUAUUAAAGUUGUUGCAGUUAAAAAGCUCGUAGUUGAACCUUGGGCCUGGCUGGUCGGUCCGCCUCACCGCGUGUACUGAUCCGGCCGGGUCUUUCCUUCUGGCUAGCCGCAUGCCCUUCACUGGGUGUGCUGGUGAACCAGGACUUUUACUUUGAAAAAAUUAGAGUGUUCAAAGCAGGCCUUUGCUCGAAUACAUUAGCAUGGAAUAAUAGAAUAGGACGUGCGGUCCUAUUUUGUUGGUUUCUAGGACCGCCGUAAUGAUUAAUAGGGAUAGUCGGGGGUAUCAGUAUUCAAUUGUCAGAGGUGAAAUUCUUGGAUUUAUUGAAGACUAACUACUGCGAAAGCAUUUACCAAGGAUGUUUUCAUUAAUCAGUGAACGAAAGUUAGGGGAUCGAAGACGAUCAGAUACCGUCGUAAUCUUAACCGUAAACUAUGCCGACUAGGGAUCGGGCGAUGUUAUUAUUUUGACUCGCUCGGCACCUUACGAGAA
rnacentral:rRNA from 1 species